AGGAGGGAAGAUGGUGGCGGCGGCCGCUGGCUGUAUUCAGACGUGCAGCUGGACGUAAUGAAGCUUUCAGUGGAUGUUGCAGCGGUGUGUCAGCAGAGGAAGUUAGUUUCACGAAAUGAUGCAGGUACAAGGUAGACAACAUAUCUUGAAUUACUAAAAAAACGCUGUUUGCGUCAGAGUAAUGU